rnacentral:rRNA from 1 species
GACUACUGGGGUAUCUAAGCCCGUUCGCUCCCCACGCUUUCGCACCUGAGCGUCAGGUAUGGGCCAGGAAGCCGCUUUCGCCACUGGUGUUCCUCCCGAUAUCUACGCAUUCCACCACUACACCGGGAAUUCCGCUUCCCUCUCCCAACCUCAAGCUAUGCAGUAUCGAACGACCUCUCCCAGUUGAGCCAGGAGCUUUCACGUCCGACUUACAUAACCGCCUGCGUGCGCUUUACGCCCAGUGAAUCCGGAUAACGCUUGCCUCCUACGUAUUACCGCGGCUGCUGGCACGUAGUUAGCCGAGACUUAUUCCUGGGAUACCGUCCUUGUCUCUUCUCCCAGAAAAGAGGUUUACAACCCGAAGGCCUUCAUCCCUCACGCGGCGUUGCUGGGUCAGGCUUUCGCCCAUUGCCCAAUAUUCCUCACUGCAGCCGCCCGUAGG